CUGCAACUCGACUACAUGAAGCUGGAAUCGCUAGUAAUCGCGAAUCAGCAUGUCGCGGUGAAUACGUUCCCGGGUCUUGUACACACCGCCCGUCACACCAUGGGAGUCGGUAACGCCCGAAGUCAGUGACCCAACCGCAAGGAGGGAGCUGCCGAAGGUGGAGCUGGUAACUGGGGUGAAGUCGUAACAAGGUAAC
rnacentral:rRNA from 1 species